rnacentral:rRNA from 1 species
GCCUACGGGGGCAGCAGUAGGGAAUAUUGCUCAAUGGGGGAAACCCUGAAGCAGCAACGCCGCGUGGAGGAUGAAGGUUUUCGUAUUGUAAACUCCUUUUGUUAGAGAAGAUAAUGACGGUAUCUAACGAAUAAGCACCGGCUAACUCCGUGCCAGCAGCCGCGGUAAUACGGAGGGUGCAAGCGUUACUCGGAAUCACUGGGCGUAAAGAGCGCGUAGGCGGGAUAGCAAGUCAGAUGUGAAAUCCUAUGGCUUAACCAUAGAACUGCAUUUGAAACUGUUAUUCUAGAGUAUGGGAGAGGUAG